AGUAGAGUCAUGCGCAUUCCGGUUCAUAGAUCGCCGUGAGUGCGGAUGAUUAGUUGUCUGAGUUUUCAAUAAAGAAGUUGCAGGAUGCAUAGACAUGGAUGGGAUGAGCGCAGAGUGCGAGUAUGAGAGUCAUUAGUUACUUAGUCUAUCUUGAUAUCAAUGAACCAAUUUGAUUAUCUGGUCAUGUUGGAUUUAUCUAUUUGAUUUAAGUGAUUAACUGUGGAA